AUUCUUGACGUUGAUGACACUUGCCUCUCCAAUAUCUUUUAUUACAAGGGAAAGAGAUAUGGGUGUGAUCCAUACGAUCCGGCUGCUUUCAAGGCAUGGGUAUUGAAGGAAAGGUGUACAGCUAUUCCUGCUGUGUUUAGAUUGUUCCAGGUCCUGGUUGAGAGUGGUUUUAAGGUAUUCAUCGUCACUGGCAGAGACCAAACUCUUGGCCAAGCCACUAUCCAUAAUUUGCAUAAUCAAGGAUUCA
rnacentral:misc_RNA from 1 species